GCACUUCCCUUUUGUUAAUGCAGACGGAACAGCCUGGAAAUUCCAUCUGUUUUGUGCUCAUUAUCCACAAUGCUUACUUUCUUCUGCGGAUUUGAUAAGCCCUCUCUUCUAACAGUCAUGUUGGCGAAGUUUAUAAUCAUCACCAUUUAUUUUUUCUCAAGUUGAUAAGUGAACUUACUAUUUUGCCAGUUCGAAAUUUAAUCACGACUUAGAUAGUAUAGUACACUAAUUUAUGUAUGGAUGUCUGAGGCAUGAAUCUCUACUCUGUACAUGCUUGUUGGCUUAAUUCAACUUGUUAAAAAAUUCGAAAUGCCAGGUAGAGUCUUGAUCAUUAGGCCAAUUGGUUUAACAACUUCCCAACUACUGAACAAUAUCAUCAUUAGUUAAAAGUCAUCAUCAAACCAUAAUGCCACUUUAGUUAUAAUAUGAAACAUAAUUAACAAAUCAUUUGGUAGUUUUGACAAUCUCAUUAGCCUUGACUUUUGUGCAUUUGGCUUCUAAUAUUAGACCAGCAAAGCUAUUGAGCAGAGGCAUCUCCUCCUACCAUUCAACACCGUCACCGCGUGUUUAAACACUCCAAGAAACCUUGAAAGGGAAAUAUCCGAAUACUGUUAAGCAAAUGAAUGGAAGAAGUACUGUUGUGAUUUUAUUCUUCUGGGCUCUGCUCACAGUGAUCACUCCAGCGCUUAUUCGCAUGUCUGCAUCCGCUAAACUAUUGGAUGUAAACGGUGUUGAAGCUAGCGCGGUGAAGAGCAGAUUGUUACCAAGAAGGGCACUCAUAGCUACAAAAUUUAUCGAAACACCAGCACCAACACCAGCGCCAACACCAGAGCCAGGCACGAAUAAACCAGUGCACUAAGGUGCAUGCACAGUGUGGUCGCUCAGAAGGGCCGUGUUGGUGUUUGAAAUAAAUGAAUUUUUUUAGAAGUGGAGGCCUGAUUAUAGAGGUUUAGCACGAGACAGCAAUGAUUCGGAGAAGGUCCUGAGCUGCAGAUUAUGCGCAAUGUUAGUGAUAAAAUGUUUACGCAGCAAAAUGCAGUACUAGAAACAGGAUUUUGGCGGCUAAUCGGCUAAAGUCACUAUUGUACAUAUGUUGUUCAUUUCUUGGCAUGUAUAGAAAGAGUUUAUCGAUUCGUUCUAAGAUAAUGGGUUAUGUUGGUGAAAUUACUCGAGUUUGCGUGGAGAAAAUAUCUCUUGAUCAGAACCGAGCCAGGUUUCUGAUAAUGCAGGGGCGAAAAAUAAAAUUGCGGACUUAUUUAAGUAAAAGUAUAUAGAUUUUAUCAAUAUUUUCAUGUGAUUUUGUUAAUUUACAAACAUCAAUUUCAGUGUAACAUCGAUACCAAAGUACUAAAAUUUGAUCAUCAUAUAUUAUAGACUUAAUUCUAGUUUGU